UUUAGACAGCAACACAGUGCUUCCCCUGGGUUGACUGCCUGGUGGGGCGGAUGGGCCCCACGCAGCGGAGGAGAGACAGGAUGGAUUGUUUGGAGCUUAGCCAUCUUUACUAGUCUCCCCCUGGUGCUCAGUCUUCAUGUGGGAACAGCCUGCUGCUGCUGCUGC